CCCUUAGAUGUCCGGGGCUGCACGCGCGCUGCACUGAAGGAAUCAGCGUGCUAAAACCAUUGUCGAAAGGCAUUGGUAAACCCAUUAAAAUCCUACGUGAUUGGGAUCGGGAAUUGCAAUUAUUUCCCUUGAACGAGGAAUUCCCAGUAAGUGUGGGUCAUAAGCUCGCGUUGAUUACGUCCCUGCCCUUUGUACACACCGCCCGUCGCUGCCCGGGACUGAGCCGUUUCGAGAAAAGCGGGGACUGCUGCUGUCGGGGCUUUCGGGCCUUGGCUUCGGUGGAAACCGCUUUAAUCGCAGUGGCUUGAACCGGGCAAAAGUCGUANCA
rnacentral:rRNA from 1 species